rnacentral:rRNA from 1 species
GACGAACGCUGGCGGCGUGCUUAACACAUGCAAGUCGAACGGAAAGGCCCUGCUUUUGUGGGGUGCUCGAGUGGCGAACGGGUGAGUAACACGUGAGUAACCUGCCCUUGACUUUGGGAUAACUUCAGGAAACUGGGGCUAAUACCGGAUAGGAGCUCCUGCUGCAUGGUGGGGGUUGGAAAGUUUCGGCGGUUGGGGAUGGACUCGCGGCUUAUCAGCUUGUUGGUGGGGUAGUGGCUUACCAAGGCUUUGACGGGUAGCCGGCCUGAGAGGGUGACCGGCCACAUUGGGACUGAGAUACGGCCCAGACUCCUACGGGAGGCAGCAGUGGGGAAUAUUGCACAAUGGGCGGAAGCCUGAUGCAGCAACGCCGCGUGCGGGAUGACGGCCUUCGGGUUGUAAACCGCUUUCGCCUGUGACGAAGCGUGAGUGACGGUAAUGGGUAAAGAAGCACCGGCUAACUACGUGCCAGCAGCCGCGGUGAUACGUAGGGUGCGAGCGUUGUCCGGAUUUAUUGGGCGUAAAGGGCUCGUAGGUGGUUGAUCGCGUCGGAAGUGUAAUCUUGGGGCUUAACCCUGAGCGUGCUUUCGAUACGGGUUGACUUGAGGAAGGUAGGGGAGAAUGGAAUUCCUGGUGGAGCGGUGGAAUGCGCAGAUAUCAGGAGGAACACCAGUGGCGAAGGCGGUUCUCUGGGCCUUUCCUGACGCUGAGGAGCGAAAGCGUGGGGAGCGAACAGGCUUAGAUACCCUGGUAGUCCACGCUGUAAACGGUGGGUACUAGGUGUGGGGUCCAUUCCACGGGUUCCGUGCCGUAGCUAACGCUUUAAGUACCCCGCCUGGGGAGUACGGCCGCAAGGCUAAAACUCAAAGGAGUUGACGGGGCCCCGCACAAGCGGCGGAGCAUGCGGAUUAAUUCGAUGCAACGCGUAGAACCUUACCUGGGUUUGACAUGGAUCGGGAGUGCUCAGAGAUGGGUGUGCCUCUUUUGGGGUCGGUUCACAGGUGGUGCAUGCCUGUCGUCAGCUCGUGUCGUGAGAUGUUGGGUUAAGUCCCGCAACGAGCGCAACCCUUGUUCACUGUUGCCAGCACGUUAUGGUGGGGACUCAGUGGAGACCGCCGGGGUCAACUCGGAGGAAGGUGGGGAUGACGUCAAGUCAUCAUGCCCCUUAUGUCCAGGGCUUCACGCAUGCUACAAUGGCUGGUACAGAGAGUGGCGAGCCUGUGAGGGUGAGCGAAUCUCGGAAAGCCGGUCUCAGUUCGGAUUGGGGUCUGCAACUCGACCUCAUGAAGUCGGAGUCGCUAGUAAUCGCAGAUCAGCAACGCUGCGGUGAAUACGUUCCCGGG